rnacentral:rRNA from 1 species
UGAGCAAUCUGCCCUUCACUUCGGGAUAACUCCGGGAAACCGGUGCUAAUACCGAAUACGACCACUUCAGGCAUCUGAUGGUGGUGGAAAGUUCCGGCGGUGAAGGAUGAGCUCGCGGCCUAUCAGCUUGUUGGUGGGGUAAUGGCCCACCAAGGCAACGACGGGUAGCCGGCCUGAGAGGGUGACCGGCCACACUGGGACUGAGACACGGCCCAGACUCCUACGGGAG